AAUUCUCAACUUCAUCAGUUUUGUUAUGAAACUGUGUGAAGCUUGGAUGUGGGGGCUUGCAGAAUCCAUCAUGGUGUCCUGCUCCCCUUAAAUGAAUUAGCGAGUUCAAACUGGGCUCUGUCUAUUGGUGUGAUAACUAUCUACGCCGUGGAUUGAGCUUAGACUUGCUUCUAACCGUCUGAAAAGACAGCUUUUUGACA
rnacentral:misc_RNA from 1 species